UGUUACCGCGGCGGCUGGCACCAGUCUUGCCCGGCCCUUGCUAUGAAAUGCUUUUUAGGCAUCUCGACAGCCAGAUUUGUAACCUGGCACUCGAGGUUCCCUUAUCGCUGUUGCCAGCAUUGUAAAGUUUUCGCGCCUGCUGCACCCCGUAGGGCCUGGGUUCGUGUCUCAGAAUCCAUCUCCGGGCUCUUGCUCUCACAACCCGUACCCGUCGUAGGCUAGUAGGUACAUUACACCCACUACUACCUGAUAGGCCGCAGACCCAUCCUUGGGCAGACGAAUCCAUUUGACGCAUAAAGCAUUCCAGCAUAUAUGCGUUAUCCGGAAUUAUCCCCAGUUUCCCGGGGUUAUGCCGGACCCAAGGGCAGGUUAUCCACGUGUUACUGAGCAGUACGCCAUGUUCACGAAGAACAUAUGACUUGCAUGGCUUAGUCGAACACCGAUAGCAGUAACCUCUGGCAGGAUCAGCCGGA
rnacentral:rRNA from 1 species